UUGACAGUAAGGGCGGAGUGACAUACUUUCAGGAGUGAGGGUUGAGCGGGGUUUCCCCCGCCCUGGUAGUCUUAGUAAGCCGGGAAGCUAAUCACUAAGAGCACCACGAUGAUGAUCCACUUCAUCAUGACCCUUUCCUUAU
rnacentral:sRNA from 1 species